CUUGCUUCUCUUGAGAGCGGCGGACGGGUGAGUAAUGCCUAGGAAUCUGCCUGGUAGUGGGGGAUAACGUUCGGAAACGGACGCUAAUACCGCAUACGUCCUACGGGAGAAAGCAGGGGACCUUCGGGCCUUGCGCUAUCAGAUGAGCCUAGGUCGGAUUAGCUAGUUGGUGGGGUAAUGGCUCACCAAGGCGACGAUCCGUAACUGGUCUGAGAGGAUGAUCAGUCACACUGGAACUGAGACACGGUCCAGACUCCUACGGGAGGCAGCAGUGGGGAAUAUUGGACAAUGGGCGAAAGCCUGAUCCAGCCAUGCCGCGUGUGUGAAGAAGGUCUUCGGAUUGUAAAGCACUUUAAGUUGGGAGGAAGGGUUGUAGAUUAAUACUCUGCAAUUUUGACGUUACCGACAGAAUAAGCACCGGCUAACUCUGUGCCAGCAGCCGCGGUAAUACAGAGGGUGCAAGCGUUAAUCGGAAUUACUGGGCGUAAAGCGCGCGUAGGUGGUUUGUUAAGUUGGAUGUGAAAUCCCCGGGCUCAACCUGGGAACUGCAUUCAAAACUGACUGACUAGAGUAUGGUAGAGGGUGGUGGAAUUUCCUGUGUAGCGGUGAA
rnacentral:rRNA from 1 species